rnacentral:rRNA from 1 species
GCUCAGGAUGAACGCUAGCUACAGGCUUAACACAUGCAAGUCGAGGGGCAGCAUGGUCUUAGCUUGCUAAGGCCGAUGGCGACCGGCGCACGGGUGAGUAACACGUAUCCAACCUGCCGUCUACUCUUGGACAGCCUUCUGAAAGGAAGAUUAAUACAAGAUGGCAUCAUGAGUUCACAUGUUCACAUGAUUAAAGGUAUUCCGGUAGACGAUGGGGAUGCGUUCCAUUAGAUAGUAGGCGGGGUAACGGCCCACCUAGUCUUCGAUGGAUAGGGGUUCUGAGAGGAAGGUCCCCCACAUUGGAACUGAGACACGGUCCAAACUCCUACGGGAGGCAGCAGUGAGGAAUAUUGGUCAAUGGACGAGAGUCUGAACCAGCCAAGUAGCGUGAAGGAUGACUGCCCUAUGGGUUGUAAACUUCUUUUAUAAAGGAAUAAAGUCGGGUAUGCAUACCCGUUUGCAUGUACUUUAUGAAUAAGGAUCGGCUAACUCCGUGCCAGCAGCCGCGGUAAUACGGAGGAUCCGAGCGUUAUCCGGAUUUAUUGGGUUUAAAGGGAGCGUAGGCGGACGCUUAAGUCAGUUGUGAAAGUUUGCGGCUCAACCGUAAAAUUGCAGUUGAUACUGGGUGUCUUGAGUACAGUAGAGGCAGGCGGAAUUCGUGGUGUAGCGGUGAAAUGCUUAGAUAUCACGAAGAACUCCGAUUGCGAAGGCAGCCUGCUGGACUGUAACUGACACUGAUGCUCGAAAGUGUGGGUAUCAAACAGGAUUAGAUACCCUGGUAGUCCACACAGUAAACGAUGAAUACUCGCUGUUUGCGAUAUACAGUAAGCGGCCAAGCGAAAGCGUUAAGUAUUCCACCUGGGGAGUACGCCGGCAACGGUGAAACUCAAAGGAAUUGACGGGGGCCCGCACAAGCGGAGGAACAUGUGGUUUAA